GAUGAAGAACGUAGCGAAAUGCGAUACGUAAUGUGAAUUGCAGAAUUCAGUGAAUCAUCGAAUCUUUGAACGCACAUUGCGCCCCUUGGUAUUCCAUGGGGCAUGCCUGUUCGAGCGUCAUUUGUACCUUCAAGCUUUGCUUGGUGUUGGGUGUUUGUCUCGCCUCCGCGUGUAGACUCGCCUCAAAACAAUUGGCAGCCGGCGUAUUGAUUUCGGAGCGCAGUACAUCUCGCGCUUUGCACUCACAACGACGACGUCCAAAAGUACAUUUUUACACUCUUGACCUCGGAUCAGGUAGGGAUACCCGCUGAACUUAAGCAUAUCAAUAAGCGGAGGA
rnacentral:misc_RNA from 1 species